CAUUGCACCCUUCGUUACGGAAGGAGCAGUCCAGAACCUGCUGCACACUGAGUUGUUUAAGCUGUGAGCCACCAAUAGCAUGGACGGACUGCAUGGCACCAACCACACUAAAUGCCCAACAACUUCCACACUGCAGAGUCACAAAAGUAGAAUCAAGAAAGGUGUAAACUGGAUAAAGAAGAACUUAUGAAAUGACAAAAGUUUUACAG